AUUGAACGCUGGCGGCAGGCCUAACACAUGCAAGUCGAGCGAGCGGCGGACGGGUGAGUAAUGUAUGGGGACUGCCCGAUAGAGGGGGAUAACUACUGGAAACGGUGGCUAAUACCGCAUACUAUCGGAUAACCCAUAUGGGAUUAGCUAGUAGGUGGGGUAAAGGCUCACCUAGGCGACGAUCUCUAGCUGGUCUGAGAGGAUGACCAGCCAAACGGGGACUGAGGAACGGCCCAGACUCCUACGGGGGCAGCAGUGGGGAAUAUUGCUCAAUGGGGGCAAGCCUGAUGCAGCCAGGCCGCGUGUAGGAAGAAGGCCUUCGGGUUGUAAAGUACUUUCAGUCGGGAGGCGUUACCGACAGAAGAAGCACCGGCUAACACCGUGCCAGCAGCCGCGUAAUAC
rnacentral:rRNA from 1 species